rnacentral:rRNA from 1 species
UGGGGAAUUUUGGACAAUGGGCGAAAGCCUGAUCCAGCAAUGCCGCGUGUGUGAAGAAGGCCUUCGGGUUGUAAAGCACUUUUGUCCGGAAAGAAAUCCUUGGCUCUAAUACAGUCGGGGGAUGACGGUACCGGAAGAAUAAGCACCGGCUAACUACGUGCCAGCAGCCGCGGUAAUACGUAGGGUGCAAGCGUUAAUCGGAAUUACUGGGCGUAAAGCGUGCGCAGGCGGUUUGCUAAGACCGAUGUGAAAUCCCCGGGCUCAACCUGGGAACUGCAUUGGUGACUGGCAGGCUAGAGUAUGGCAGAGGGGGGUAGAAUUCCACGUGUAGCAGUGAAAUGCGUAGAGAUGUGGAGGAAUACCGAUGGCGAAGGCAGCCCCCUGGGCCAAGUACUGACGCUCAUGCACGAAAGCGUGGGGGAGCAAAACAGGAUUAGAUACCCCUGGUAGUCCACGCCCUAAANGAUGUCAACUAGUUGUUGGGGAUUCAUUUCCUUAGUAACGUAGCUAACGCGUGAAGUUGACCGCCUGGGGAGUACGGUCGCAAGAUUAAAACUCAAA